GCUCUUUUGUUUUGCCCUGCCUCUCCCUUCAGAAGAUUUGCCUAUAAAGUUAUUUUUAGAUGCCUUGUGAGCAAGUUUUGUGGGAAGACAAGCAGCCAGCAGCCCCCGGCGAGCUGCUAAGCCCACCCCUCUCAGCUUACAGCAUGUAAUUAGCAGAUAAUCAUGCCAAAAUCGCAGACUCCAACAGGCUAAUUUUAUCGCAUGUGCUGACAUCGGUAAGCUUGUUGAAAAAAGAAGCACUGGAGCUGAGCAUCCAAAACCCAUCCAUUGUCUUUGCAUUGCCUCCAUGAGCAGCAGCAGGGAUGACAGGCACGCAGCAAGAUGAAGGAAGACCCGGCGAGCCUUGCGGCACGUGGCUCAGCCUCACCCUUGCUCUGGAGCAGCUGAGGACGUCCGGGAGAGAUUAGCAGGUCACCCCCUUGGCUUUGACAGUUGAUGGAGAACAAGUGUUCCUGCAGAGAGCACCCUGUUAGUGAUCCAUGGCAUGGAUCAGACCUCAACUCCAAAGCUUUG